GUGGUAUCCUGUCUGAAUAUGGGGGGACCAUCCUCCAAGGCUAAAUACUCCUGACUGACCGAUAGUGAACCAGUACCGUGAGGGAAAGGCGAAAAGAACCCCGGCGAGGGGAGUGAAAAAGAACCUGAAACCGUGUACGUACAAGCAGUGGGAGCACCUUCGGGUGUGACUGCGUACCUUUUGUAUAAUGGGUCAGCGACUUAUAUUCUGUAGCAAGGUUAACCGUAUAGGGGAGCCGCAGGGAAACCGAGUCUUAACUGGGCGUUAAGUUGCAGGGUAUAGACCCGAAACCCGGUGAUCUAGCCAUGGGCAGGUUGAAGGUUGGGUAACACUAACUGGAGGACCGAACCGA
rnacentral:rRNA from 1 species